UCUAUUGUAAAUAAAAUAUAAGUUUAUGAGAUUUGUAAAUUAUUCCAUUCCUUUUUUACUCACAAUUUCUACAGUGUCCCAACUUUUUUGGAAUCGGGUUUGUAUAUGUGUAGGUGUAUAUGUAUACAAAUCUGCAGAUUUAUUGUACACUAGUCAACAUUUGAAGAGUUUUGGGUAUUGGUUUUAAGACAACUAUUAUGAAAGGUUUUGAUCCUCUUAAAAUUUUGACUAGUGUAGUUUGAUGGUACAAAUCAAACUGUGAUGGCACGGGGCCUCAAAACAUUGAUUUUGGAAAUUGCAUACAUUGUGAUCCGUACAUGUGCCACUGUGGUGAUUACCUGGUGCAUGAAUGGCCAAAACGUUUCCAGUUGAGUCCGCAGCUUAUGCCAGCGGAGAGUGAAGACUGUUGUGCAUUGUUCAGAGCAACUACAGGGCCACAGUGCAGCAAAUCACCAGCAACACGUUACAUGUGCCCAUUUCAUGCUAGUGAUUUGUUGCACUGUGGUCCUGUGGUCCCUGUGAAAAAUGCACAACCGUCUCCCCUCUGACAAUAAUGCACUGCGGACAUAAAACAAGUCUGUGCACCACUUUAAAUGCAUACUAUAUAUAGUGGCACAUGAACAACCCACAAAGCCCCAUGCCAUCUCUGUUUGUCCGUUAUUAAACUUCAAUUAAUCUGCAGCUUGGGAAUAGGCAAUUUUGCCAAAAAAUUACAGCUGCAUGAAAAGUGUUCAUCCUGUAACCUGUGGACGUUGGCUUUUCUAGGUGACAGUAGCUGUGAAACUUCGUUUUAUGACCAUGACUGGCAUUAUAGUUUUGAUGUUCCAUGACAAAAAAUGCCAGCAAGUUUUAUGGGAAAGUUGCAAAAUGGCGAAAGGCCAAGUUGCUCUGAGAGAAGAAAGUUGGUCCGCAUUGUUGCUUCUGAGAUCCUGGAAGUCAGCAAAUGUCCAGCAAAAAAACAUGUAUCAGAAAUGGCCCGACAAAUGGUGAUUGCAUACCCAAAGUCUUUCAGAGAUGAGAUUAAUUCCCAGGUUGUAGGAAGUGGAUAUGAUUCUCUCCUCAAACAACUGGUGUGUAGAAUUGACAAUUGGAAAAGAGCAAAAGCUAUUAGUAUACCACUUUGUGGUACUCUAGAAGUAUAAACAAAGAAACAAAAAUUGUUAUAUGGUUGUAUAAAUUCUGAUCCACAACUGCUAGUUGGAGAAACAUCUGAAUUGCAGCAGGAAAAGAAAGAGAAGUUGGUAGUAAUGUUUCAAAAUAAUGAAAGUGAUGUAAAGACAAUCUAUGACUUAAUGACUUCUACAUACACCCCUCAAAGAAACAGCAUCCAAUCUGGAAAGGAAACCAAAGAUUUACUUGAUGAGUGGCCAUAUCUUUUUCAGCCAGCAGGAAUGAAAGCACACUUUAAAGAGCUCACUGGCAUUGACAUAAACAACAGCUUUGAAGAAUCUGCUUCCAGUAAGUUCAGAAGAAUAUUGGACUACUUUCAAUUUCAGUGCACAGAAAGAGCAAGCAAAGCAGGGAGAAUCCUCACAAAGUAUAGAGCUGGAGGGGAUCAUGUUUGUGGGGCCGUGAUGUUGCUGCUAACCCAUUUCAAAAAUUACCAAGACCACUUUCUUGUGAUGGUAGAAGACACCUCUGUUCCAAGUGAUAUAUGCUCAGAACAGCUUCCAGCAACACCAUGUAUAGUAGUGUGUGGAGAGAACCCACUGACAGCCAGUGUGUACAUGGUAGCAGUAGACCAGAUGAUUGUAAAUGACCAUCUCUUGAGUUUUACAGAAGCCCUGUAUCUGAUGUUCUCUCUUUACUAUAUAUUGAACAUCAGUUACCCUGUAGAACUGGGAGCCACACUAGAAUUCUUGCAAAGGUGCAUCUUUAGGAUAAAUCCUCAUAAAGGUACCAAGGUGGAAAAGAGAGAGAAAAAGAGAGCGGACUCUGUCAACCCCAGAGUAUUGAGUCUGACAUCAGAAAUUGCUGCAUUUGAUUGGGGAGAGUAACAGAUGUGGUCUUUCAGAAGAUUGGCAUUUCGCUGAAGAACAGGACAGACCGACUUUUUGUACUUCAGUGCAGCGCUUUGUUGCUUAAAUCAUUUUUAUUACCUUGUGACGUGAUUAGGAUUUAGUUUAUAUUUAUUUAUUUGAUUGGGACAGUGCAUGUUAAUGAACAAACAUGGAAUACAUGCAUGUAAACAUGCUGGAUUGUAGCCAAAGGCUAAUUUCCAUCCGUAGUCCCACGGGCUAAAAUCACACGGGUCACAAAACAUUACAUAAUAAAAUUUACAUCUACAGUUAGUACAUCGUUUAUCAAUAAAUUAGCUAAAGCCCCGUAUACAAUAUUCACAUAAUACUUGAAAAUUCAUUCAACUUCAAAAUUAUCAGAAUCCAGGCCCAGUGUUUUUGUUUCUUUUAAACUGAACACAUUUGUGUUCUGAAACAUGCUUUAUCCAUUUUCUCCAUGUGACAUGUUCAGGAUUAUCAGAAUUAAUGUCGAUUUUUUUUUUUUUUUAAAUUGAACAAAUUUGUUUUCUAAAACAUGACUUUUGCUGGGAAGUGUUUUUCCAUUGUUUGAUCUUGAAGGUUUGCUAUAUAAUAAAAAGCUGAAGUUGUUUACAGCAA